GCCGGGUGGUAUGGUGGCUCACACCUGUAGUCCUAGCAACUGGGGAAGCUGAGGAUCCCUUGAGCCCAGGAGUUCCGGGCUGUAGUGUGCUAUGUCCAUCAGGUGUCUGUACUAAGUUCAGCAUGAAUAUUCCAGGAGCAGAGGACCACUAGGUUGCCUACGGAGGGGCGAACCAGCCCAGGUCAGAAACAGAGUAGGUCAAAACUCGUGUGCUGAUCAGUAGUGGGAUCACACUUGUGAACAGCCACUGCACUCCAGCCUGGGCGGCACAGUGAGACCCCAUCUCU
rnacentral:SRP_RNA from 1 species